rnacentral:rRNA from 1 species
GACGAACGCUGGCGGCGUGCUUAACACAUGCAAGUCGAACGGGAACCUUUAUUUCGGUAAAGGAGAGAGUGGCAAACGGGUGAGUAACACGUAGGCAACCUGCCGACAGGAUGGGGACAACAUUCCGAAAGGAAUGCUAAUACCGAAUGGAGUCCGAGGAUGGCAUCAUCCUUGGAUAAAAGAUGGCCUCUGAAUAUGCUAUCGCCUGUCGAUGGGCCUGCGUCUGAUUAGCCAGUUGGCGGGGUAACGGCCCACCAAAGCGACGAUCAGUAGCCGGUCUGAGAGGAUGAACGGCCACAUUGGGACUGAGACACGGCCCAGACUCCUACGGGAGGCAGCAGUGGGGAAUCUUCCACAAUGGGCGAAAGCCUGAUGGAGCAACGCCGCGUGAGUGAAGAAGGUCUUCGGAUCGUAAAGCUCUGUUGCACGGGACGAAAACUGGGUUUGAAAACAUUGAACCUGGGUGACGACC